AACGCACAUUGCGCCCGCCAGUAUUCUGGCGGGCAUGCCUGUUCGAGCGUCAUUUCAACCAUCAAGCCCCGGGCUUGUGUUGGGGACCUGCGGCUGCCGCAGGCCCUGAAAAGCAGUGGCGGGCUCGCUGUCACACCGAGCGUAGUAGCAUACAUCUCGCUCUGGGCUUGCUGCGGGUUCCGGCCGUUAAACCACCUUUUAACCCAAGGUUGACCUCGUAUCAGGUAGGAAGACCCGCUGAACUUAA
rnacentral:misc_RNA from 1 species